rnacentral:rRNA from 1 species
UACGUAGGGUGCAAGCGUUAAUCGGAAUUAUUGGGCGUAAAGCGCGCGCAGGCGGUCCUUUAAGUCCGAUGUGAAAGCCCACGGCUCAACCGUGGAGGGUCAUUGGAAACUGGGGGACUUGAGUGCAGGAGAGAAGAGUGGAAUUCCACGUGUAGCGGUGAAAUGCGUAGAGAUGUGGAGGAACACCAGUGGCGAAGGCGGUUCUCUGGGACGGUACUGACGCUGAGACGCGAAAGCGUGGGGAGCGAACAGG